UUUUUUUGACUUUGAUGGAAUUGA
rnacentral:piRNA from 1 species